rnacentral:rRNA from 1 species
GUUAAGCGACUAAGCGUACACGGUGGAUGCCCUGGCAGUCAGAGGCGAUGAAGGGCGUGCUAAUCUGCGAUAAGCGCCGGUAAGGUGAUAUGAACCGUUAUAACCGGCGAUACCCGAAUGGGGAAACCCAGUGUGAUUCGUCACACUAUCAUUAACUGAAUCCAUAGGUUAAUGAGGCGAACCGGGGGAACUGAAACAUCUAAGUACCCCGAGGAAAAGAAAUCAACCGAGAUUCCCCCAGUAGCGGCGAGCGAACGGGGAGGAGCCCAGAGCCUGAAUCAGCAUGUGUGUUAGUGGAAGCGUCUGGAAAGGCGCGCGAUACAGGGUGACAGCCCCGUACACAAAAGCGCAUGUGCUGUGAGCUCGAUGAGUAGGGCGGGACACGUGGUAUCCUGUCUGAAUAUGGGGGGACCAUCCUCCAAGGCUAAAUACUCCUGACUGACCGAUAGUGAACCAGUACCGUGAGGGAAAGGCGAAAAGAACCCCGGCGAGGGGAGUGAAAAAGAACCUGAAAC